AGCAGCCGCGGUAAUUCCAGCUCCAAUAGCGUAUAUUAAAGUUGUUGCAGUUAAAAGCUCGUAGUUGAAUUUCGGGGUUAGUAGGUUGGUCAUGCCUCUGGUAUGUACUGGUCUCACUGAUUCCUCCUUCCUGAUGAACCUUAAUGCCAUUAAUUUGGUGUUUUGGGGAAUUUGGACUGUUACUUUGAAAAAUUAGAGUGUUUAAAGCAAGCUAACGCUUGAAUACAUUAGCAUGGAAUAAUGAAAUAGGACGUUCGAUCCUAUUUUGUUGGUUUCUAGGAUUGACGUAAUGAUUAAUAGGGAUAGUUGGGGGCAUUAGUAUUCAAUUGUCAGAGGUGAAAUUCUUGGAUUUAUUGAAGACUAACUACUGCGAAAAGCAUUUGCCAAGGAUGUUUUCAUUAAUCAAGAACGAAAGUUAGGGGAUCGAAGACGAUCAGAUACCGUGUAGUCUUAACCAUAAACUAUAGCCGACUAGGGAUCGGAUGAUGUUAAUUUUUAAUGUACUCAUUCGGCGUCCUUA
rnacentral:misc_RNA from 1 species